AGCAUCUCCAUUAAUCCUGCUGGUGCGGUUACCUGGGGUCAGAAUGUCGCUAUCACAUGUUCGGUCACAGGUGAUCAGUUAAGUGGAACAUUUAUCUUCACAAAGACCUCAGGCUCAUUCAGCAGGAGAAUAACAUCUAGCAGCAACUCUGCUACCCUCAGUAUCUCUAAUGUAAACUUUGACAAUGAGGGAUCAUACCAGUGUCAGUUUCAGAGGCUUUCAAAUCAACACUUCAGCACACCUUUAAGUAAUACUGUGACUGUCACUGUAAGAGUAAUCUUCCCAAAGCCCAGCAUCUCAAAGGAUACUGCUGGUGCGAUUACCUGGGGUCAGAAUCUUGGAAUCACUUGUUCAAUCUCAACUCAGCAUUUAGGUGGAACAUUCACUCUGCAGCAGAGCUCAGGCUCAUUCAGGAAAAGCCAAACAUCGAGUACAAACUCUGUUACCUUCAACAUCCCUCAAGUGACUUUCAGUAAUGAGGGAUCGUACCAGUGUCAGUAUCAAACAAGGAUUUCAAGUCGAGAUUUCAGUUCACCACAGAGUGACUCAGUCAGAGUUUCUGUUACCGUGGUCCUCCCAAAGCCCAGCAUCUCUAAGAGUCCAACUGGAGAGUUGACCUGGGGUCAAGACGUUAGCAUUAGUGAUGGUGAGAUGAAGCCUCGUGAUGAGCUGAAGCUUUCCAUCCAACUGGUCGACUCAUGGUUCGAAGCAUUGUGAUGAUUCAUUUGCUCUACUGCGCCAUCAAGUGGACGAUUUAAGUGAAAUAGGCUCUGUG
ensembl:lncRNA